UAGUCCACGCCGUAAACGAUGGACACUAGUUGUUGGAAGGCUUGACUUUUCAGUGACGUAGCUAACGUGUUAAGUGUCCCGCCUGGGGAGUACGUCCGCAAGGAUGAAACCCAAAGGAAUUGACGGGGGCCCGCACAAGCGGUGGAGCAUGUGCUUUAAUUCGAUGCAACGCGAAGAACCUUACCUGGUCUUGACAUACCGGUGCCCGCAACAGAGAUGUUGUUUUAUCUUCGGAUACACUGGAUACAGGUGCUGCAUGGUUGUCGUCAGCUCGUGUCGUGAGAUGUUGGGUUAAGUCCCGCAACGAGCGCAACCCUUGUCCUUAGUUGCUAGCAGGUAAUGCUGAGAACUCUAAGGAGACUGCCCACGCAAGUGGGAGGAAGGUGAGGAUGACGUCAAAUCAUCAUGGCCCUUACGACCAGGGCUAGACACGUGCUACAAUGGCCGGUACAAUGGGUUGCUAACUUGCGAAAGUGUGCUAAUCUCAAAAACCGGUCUCAGUUCGGAUC
rnacentral:rRNA from 1 species